CCUACGGGUGGCAGCAGUGAGGAAUAUUGGUCAAUGGACGAGAGUCUGAACCAGCCAAGCCGCGUGAAGGAUGAAGGCCCUGUGGGUUGUAAACUUCUUUUAUAAGGGAAUAAAACGAGGCACGUGUGCCCUUUUGCAUGUACUUUAUGAAUAAGGAUCGGCUAACUCCGUGCCAGCAGCCGCGGUAAUACGGAGGAUCCGAGCGUUGUCCGGAUUUAUUGGGUUUAAAGGGUGCGUAGGUGGGUUGUUCAGUCAGGUGUGAAAGUUUGCGGCUCAACCGUAAAAUUGCAGUUGAUACUGGCAGUCUGGAGUACAGGAGAGGUAAGCGGAAUUCGUGGUGUAGCGGUGAAAUGCAUAGAUAUCACGAAGAACACCGAUUGCGAAGGCAGCUUACUAGACUGUGACUGACACUGAGGCACGAAAGCGUGGGUAUCAAACAGGAUUAGAUACCCCAGUAGUC
rnacentral:rRNA from 1 species